rnacentral:rRNA from 1 species
CUACGGAGGGUGCAAGCGUUAUUCGGAAUCACUGGGCGUAAAGGACGCGCAGGCGGGUUGGCAAGUCAGAUGUGAAAUCCUACAGCUUAACUGUAGAACUGCAUUUGAAACUGCUAACCUAGAGUAUGGGAGGGGGAGAUGGAAUUAGUGGUGUAGGGGUAAAAUCCGUAGAUAUCACUAGGAAUACCGAAAGCGAAGGCGAUCACCUGGAACAUAACUGACGCUAAGGCGUGAAAGCGUGGGGAGCAAACAGGAUUAGAAACCCUAGUAGUCC